GGCAUCUAAGCGUGAAGCCCCCCUCAAGAUGAGAUAUCCCAUCCGAAAGGAGUAAACCCCCUUGAAGACGACGAGGUUGAUAGGGCAGAGGUGGAAGUGUGGUAACACAUGGAGCUGACUGCUACUAAUAGGGUGAGGGCUUGACCAAG
rnacentral:rRNA from 1 species